AGGUUUAAGGACAUAAUUUUUGGUGGAUUUUUUUUUCUUUAGUUUUUGCUGUAGCUAGGUGCUUCUUAGAGAUUUGGGUAUUGAUAUACUCAAAUUGUUUAUGCAGAUACAGAUAAGAUUUUGUCUAAACAUUAAGAAGAGAGACAACAAUGGAGAUUAGUUUUGCAGCCCGUCUUUUAGCUAUGCCCAAAAACAAUGGUAGACUGCUAUUUUGCAGUGACUGUAUAACAAAGACUGGUAUGAGGCUCCCCCGGCAUCCAUCUGCAGCUUUAGUGACAGCUUCAAUGCCGAAUUCAAGAGAUCUUACCAACAUAGAUGAUAGUAAUGGCGGAGUUUUGGAUGGAAAAACUUCAAAAGGGUCGGGGACAACAGCAAGAGGAAGGAGGUUGAUAAAAGUUCGGGAGGAGAAGAGGAAAAGGGAAUACGACCGCCUUCACAACUAUCCUGCUUGGGCAAAAGUGUUGGAAGAUGCUUGCAAGAACGAUGCUGAGCUUCGAGCAGUUCUUGGAGAUACCAUUGGUAAUCCAGAGCUUAUGAGGAAAAGGAAUAACAGAAGAAUCCACCAUGCUGAGCUUAUACAUUGAAAAGUAUCCUAACAUCGCACACAAGUACAAUACAAGCAACUUAAGUACAUUUCAGAAUAUUACAACUGUCGUCAGUCAAACCAUUCUUUUUGUUUUCUUAACUAUCUCAGUAUCUUUGAAUUAUUGUCAUCUGUCUUGUGACUAUGUAUCCAUUUUGUUUUCUGAAUAACAGAAGAUUCCACCAUGCUGAGUUUAUACAUUGAAAAGUAUCCUACCAUCACACUCAAGUGCAAUAUAGGCAACUUAAGUACAUUUCACAUAUGAUAAGAAGAAUUUUGUUUGGAUCACUGAUGAAAUAUGUGUACCUGUGACAAAAUUAUUGAGCAUUCCAUUCUUCCGAGCAUCAAAAAAAGAAAUGAAGCAUUGUAUUGUAGCAUAUUUUGCAAUGUUCUCUUCAUCAUGAGUGCUGGAUUCCUCAUGUGAAGCAACUGAAGAUACCCUUGAAAUUGAACUUUAUGUUUCAGAAACAGCCCACUCAAAUCUUUGUCAACUUGUACACACCCUGAUUCUGUGUCAAUUAGAGGAAGCUCGAAAUGCUACAACAAAUAGAAACUACAGCCCACUGAAAUCUUUAUCAACUCACAUAUACAACCUGAUUCUGCAUCAAUUGAAGGAAGCCCGAAAUGCUACAAUCAAUAGAAACUACAAUUUUCUUUGAACUUAAUGUAUUAACAAACAAUGUGGUUGUCACAUCUUGAAGGAGAAAGAUUUUGGUAAUAAAUGAAAUUGCCUGAUCACUGAAGCAGGUGUUGUACUAGUAUCAGUUAUUGAUCUGAAGGUUUCAAUGCUUAUCACAUCCUCAGUGUUCAAAGUUUCUGGGUCUUAUUCAUGUUAUCGGGUAACUUAAGAUGAAACUCAUGUCGUUUAGAGUAUUGAAUCUAGAAUUAGUUGACUUAGGAGCGUUUCAUUUGAUUGCUUGUCAUAUGUAUACCAAGUCUUUUGGGAUUUAGUUUCCAAAAGCGAGGUAGACAAGUAUAAGAAUAAAAUGAUGGGUGUUUGGAUAGAUUGUGGUCAAUCAUUUUACUGCUAUUGAAAAUAAGAUUAACUUCGUCAACCUAUUAUAUUUGGUUAAGCCCAUAUAGAGGCAAAUUACCAUGAUAAGCAUUGUUCAAGCUAAUCAUAUGAGUAUCUUUAUAUAUGGUUUUGUGGAGCCAAAAGUCAGUGUUAGGUGUAAGUUGGUCCUUCUGGACCAGUGCUUUUACUGCUGCUUGGGAAACUGUUGAUUAUUUAAACCAUAGAAAGCGAAGGAUAGAUGUAAAUGAAUUUCACUAUGGAGUGAGAGGGUCAUGCUGUAAUUCACUCUAACCUGUUUGUUACUAAGACUAUGAAGUUGAUAAACUUAUAGAUGGAGCUCAUGCUAUUACUGAUAUAUUCCUGACCUUUGAAACUUAUUAUUUACUUGGUGAUAUUUUGAUAGGUUGAGGAAAGGGUUCGAAGGAAAGGUCAAGAUUUUCAGAAAUCUAAAACUGGAUCUGUCCUUGCAUUCAAAGUUAGCUUCAGAGAGUAAUUUACUUUUGCACAUCUAUAAAUGUUAUUGUUGGAUGCUCCACUACUUGCCUUUUAACUGUUGUUCCGGUUUCACACUGUGAGUACCAAUUUGCAGUUUUCCUCCACUUGUACGUUUUGUGUGGAUACUUUUUUAUGUUUUUCAUGAUUGAUGAGUUUGAUGGACAAUCUCGUUAAGAUUUCAUUAAUUUCAUUGAUGAAUUUUGAUCAUUUGCAAUUAAAUUCUUACUUUAUUUUCUUUGGAAAACGUCUGUAUCUUUUAUUGAAAUAUUAUAGAAGAUUUUUCAAGUUUCUAGCGUAAAAGGUUUGCUUUGAGCGCAACUUUUUUCCUAGUCAUACUUUCUAUUAUUAUUAUUAUUGUUGUUGUUAUUUACCUUCUUAUUUGAAUGAGACAAUAUACUAAUGGAUUUUAUGCUCUCUAGUCAUAAAACUCAAUUAUAUGACUCAAUGACAUGCAUGCCUGUCUGGUAUGGCUUUGGAAACAUGGAUUUCAUCAUUUUCAUAUUGUUUCCUCACAACAACAAACAAACAAACAAACAAACAAACAAACAAAAAAACCAAAAUGAGACAAAGGGGCCAAUGGAUGGUGAUAAAGAUGAUUGCAUUUUGUGUGUGGUAAAUGCUUAUUAAAUUUUUCUGACAUGCUCAUUCACAAUAGGAACAAAUGUAACUAUCAAAUUUUUUAUGUAAAGGCAAAACACUCUUGAUUGAACAUUUUGACCGCUUCUCUGUUUCCCUGUGAAUUCCCAAUAUAAUGAUUAUCAGUUUUAUAUUUUGAUCUUUCCUAUCGAUGAUAGACGCCCUUCCAUUUCCAGUUUAUUUGGAAGAAUUAGAUUGGAAUUCCACUUAUGGUGAAACUUUCAUGUUGUGAAUGACAGUUUGAUAUGAGGUCUUCCUUUUCCAAUAUGUCCCACUAAGCUAUCAGUACUAGCACGGAUACUUUGCUCAAUCAUUUGUGUAAUUGUUGUACAAAGUGCUCACGCCUUCAUCCUUGUAAAGCUAACACACUCUUGACUGAAGAUUUUGACUGCUUCUCUAUUUCCCUGUUUCCCUUUAUAUUUCAAAAGAAAGGAACAUAUAAUAAUGAUUUUCAGCCUCAUAUUUUGAUCUUUCUAUUGAUGAUAGACUCCCUUGAUUUCCAGUUUAUUUCGAAGAUCUAGAUUGAAAUUCCACUAUUGGUGGAACUUCCAUGUUAUGAAUCAUAGUUCGAUAUGAGAUCUUCCUUUCCAACAUGUUCCACUAAGCUAUCAGUACAAGUGCAGAUACCUUCCUCAAUCACUUAUAAUUGUACAAGUGCUGACACCUACAUGCUUUGCCUGAAAUUUUCUCUUAUAGAAAUGCUUCACCUGAAUUAUGUCCAUCUAGGUUUAAACAACAAGCAACUUCCACUGGUCCAUGAGCAUUCAAAAGUUUUUGUUGUCAUCAUUCCACUUGGAAUCAGCCUGAAAAGGAUAAGGAAAACAGCAGAAAGGAAGCUGCAGUGGCUAAGAGUCGCAGCUGGUUCUUGGCUUGUUUUUCCUCUCUUUCUGAUUAAAAUAUAGUUACUCAUGGAGUACCUAUAUUAACUAUUUCAGUUCUUGCAGAACUACAUAAAACUAUAAGGCAUUGGUGUAGACUUUUGUGUAUUGGGGUUGUUAGUUUUAUCGAUAAGCCAAAUAUGAUGGUUGAGUUACUUGUUGUUUAGUGCAAAUGUCCUGUUACUUCUGAAUCUAGUUGGUUUGUUGUUGUUGUUGUUCAUGUCGUUUAUAAGACAGUUUUUGUAUGUGAAAUUAAUUUUGCAUGGAUUUGAAGUACAGUCUAAUCCUCUGGAAUAAACAAAGAUUAUUUUUGGUUGGCGAAACAUUUUAGCAAUUCUCAUGACAGAGGUGUGAAGUCUAUGACUGCUUAUACUAUUCACUGUUAUUGACAGUUUUAAUCCUCUUGACUCUUAUAUAUGGUUUGAACUAUAUGGAUCGCCAUCUGAUCGUGAUGUUGACCUCCUCGGUAGUGUUAUUCAAUCCUGGUAUAUCAUGGGUCGUCUAGGCGCAUUUAAUUCAUCUAAUUUGCAGUUGGCAAAUUCAUCAAUGGAGUAUGAUCCUCUCUAUGAUGCAGAUAAGGGCUUCAAGGUGAUGCCUUCCUCAUUCCAUGACAUAAGUGACGUUGAGUUCCAGGACAACUGGGGAAGGAUCUGGGUAGAUCUUGGCACAUCUGAUUUCUUUUCCAUAGAUAUUCUACUCAACUGCUUGACUGUUUUGAGCUCAGAAUAUGUGGGCAUUCAACAGGUAAUCUUUGGCGGUCGCAAAAUCGGUGACUGGGAAGAAGGAAUGACCAGCCCUGAGUACGGGUACAAAUUCUUCAAAAUCUGAAAGAAUGCUUAAUAUGGUACUUUGAGUUCCUUUGGAUGAAAGCUUUAUCCUCAAGAUGAUGGCCUUAAAAGCUGGAAAAGAGAACAACACAGAGAGUUGCCCAUUUAAACAUGUCCUUGAGCACUCUACUUCUUGGGCCAUCCUUGUAUUCAGAAUGGUGAAGGAAAUUUUUUCUCCGCAGUCUUCACAGGGGUGGCAUUGGUGUUGAAGGUUCUAAGAUUAAGCUUAUUGAUAGAGGCAGCACUACCAAUAUGUAGUUAUUGAAGUUUUAGUCCUACAUAAUGAAAUGUCAUUUGACAUUAGUGUAAUUAGUGGGGAGAAAAAGUUACACAAUUGCAGUUGUGUUUGAUUUGAAUUAUUAUGGUGAUAAUUAUGAUUGCUAAUAAGGAGAUAAUGAGAAGGAGAAAAAUAGAAUCACAAAGAGUGCAAUUAAAAUGUCUACAUCAGAUCAAAUCAA